GGCCUUAUUCUGAGGCUGGGUGGGGGUUCCCCGGGGAGGGGAGACCCAAAGAGAAAGGGGUUACUGCCAGGGGGCAGCCCCCAGAUAAAGGGGCACCAGGGUCCAGUAGGGACACGGGGGCCAGCAGUGGUGGCAAGACACCGGCCUGAAGAAGGCGCUCCGGAAGCUGGAGAGCUAAUUCCCGGAAGUAACCAACACGAGGCGCCGCUGGAUAUUUUCUACACAUCGAAUUCCAUCCAAUUAAAGAUUGCCUCAGUGCCUGGAUUUGAG